rnacentral:siRNA from 1 species
UUGAAUGGUAAUGAUUUGUCUCAA